GUGUUCCUGGUAGGAGAUGCUGAUCAGGUGAAGAAGUCAUGGUGGCAGAGAGGAUGUGCACGUUUACAAGAUGAGAAGAGGCUGUGAUGUCUGGAACCAAUCCAGAGGACCAGAGAACAACCAGAUGAUUAGAAACACGGAUGGACCGCCUCAGACCGGAUCUUCUGCAGCUUCUUCUGCAACUUUUACAAAUCUGCCGCCGUCCUUCAACACGUCUGCAUCACCUGUUGGAGUUCCUCAAACCACCACUGGGGGCAGGUUUUCCAGCUGCCUCGGUCAGAACUUCCUCCACCUUCAGAGAUCACAGACUGUAGACUUCCUAUUCAAUCCCCACGGCUUCCCCUCACACCACAACCAAGACCGAGAACCGGCCCGACACAGCUCCACCAUGACACGCCGUCACCAUCUUUGACGUUUUUCUUUAUCUUCUGUCAAAAAAACAGUUUUACUUUUUUUUAUCCCGCCAAAAGUGUGUUUGUGUAACUCUUAUUGUUGUGUUGUGAUGCUAAAACUAUAUCUUUGUGUUUCUGUUGUCAACUUCAUCCUCUGAACUGAUUCUUUAUUUAACAUUUCACGAUCUAAUAUUUUAAAAAUACAAAUUUAUGUUCAAGAACAUGUAAAAACUGUAUCAUAUCAUCAUUAUCUUGUUGCUACUUUAUUGACAUAAAGUGUAUUUUUGUUGUUCUCUA